AUAUUGCACAAUGGGGGAAACCCUGAUGCAGCAACGCCGCGUGAGUGAAGAAGUAUUUCGGUAUGUAAAGCUCUAUCAGCAGGGAAGAAGAAAGACGGUACCUGACGAAGAAGCCCCGGCUAACUACGUGCCAACGGCCGCGGUAAUACGUAGGGGGCAAGCGUUAUCCGGAUUUACUGGGGGGAAAGGGAGCGUAGGUGGCAGGGCAAGUCAGAUGUGAAAACCCGGGGCUCAACCCCGGGAGUGCAUUUGAAACUGUCCAGCUGGAGUGCAGGAGAGGUAAGCGGAAUUCCUAGUGUAGCGGUGAAAUGCAUAGAUAUUAGGAGGAACACCAGUGGCGAAGGCGGCUUGCUGGACUGUAACUGACACUGAGGCUCGAAAGCGUGGGGAGCAAACAGG
rnacentral:rRNA from 1 species